rnacentral:piRNA from 1 species
UCAACUACAGAUGGAUAGUUUUAUCAUAG